UCCGUAGGCGGGCAAUUAAGUCAGAGGUGAAAUCCCACAGCUCAACUGUGGAACUGCCUUUGAUACUGGUUGUCUUGAGUUAUAGUGAAGUAGAUAGAAUAUGUAGUGUAGCGGUGAAAUGCAUAGAUAUUACAUAGAAUACCGAUUGCGAAGGCAGUCUACUAACUGUAUACUGACGCUAAUGGACGAAAGCGUGGGGAGCGAACAGGAUUAGAUACCCUGGUAGUUC
rnacentral:rRNA from 1 species